rnacentral:rRNA from 1 species
UACAGAGGUCUCAAGCGUUGUUCGGAUUCAUUGGGCGUAAAGGGUGCGUAGGUGGCGCCGUAAGUCAGGUGUGAAAUCUCGGGGCUCAACCCCGAAACUGCACUUGAUACUGCGGGCUCGAGUACUGGAGAGGAGAUUGGAAUUCCGUGGUGUAGCGGUGAAAUGCGCAGAUAUCAGGAAGAACACCCGUGGCGAAGGCGGUCUCUGGACGGUACUGACGCUGAGACGCGAAAGCGUGGGGAGCGAACAGG